GAGGAAUAUUGGUCAAUGGACGAGAGUCUGAACCAGCCAAGUAGCGUGAAGGAUGAAGGUCCUACGGAUUGUAAACUUCUUUUAUAAGGGAAUAAAACCUCCCACGUGUGGGGGCUUGUAUGUACCUUAUGAAUAAGCAUCGGCUAACUCCGUGCCAGCAGCCGCGGUAAUACGGAGGAUGCAAGCGUUAUCCGGAUUUAUUGGGUUUAAAGGGAGCGCAGACGGGUCGUUAAGUCAGCUGUGAAAGUUUGGGGCUCAACCUUAAAAUUGCAGUUGAUACUGGCGUCCUUGAGUGCGGUUGAGGUGUGCGGAAUUCGUGGUGUAGCGGUGAAAUGCUUAGAUAUCACGAAGAACUCCGAUUGCGAAGGCAGCACACUAAGCCGUAACUGACGUUCAUGCUCGAAAGUGUGGGUAUCAAAC
rnacentral:rRNA from 1 species